rnacentral:lncRNA from 10 species
ACCUCCAGGUGAUUGGAUGGUGCCCACCCACACUGAAGGCCAAUCUAUCUCACUCAGUCCACUGACUUACAAGCCAGUCUCUUCUAGAAACACCCUCACAGAUACACCUGGAAGUAAUGCUUUACCAGUUAUCUAGCUAUUUCUUAAUCCAGCCAAAUCGACACCUAAUAUUUACAUUUACAAUACUGUCUGUGAUAGUCAUAAAGCUUAUUUUACUGUAUUUGUACCACAUUUCAUUCUGUUCUUUCAACAUCUUUAAUUCACAUGAGAUUUAUUGCAUUGCUAGAAGCCAGGAACCUUGUCUGUCAUUCAAGAAAGCUCCUAGUAUGGUCUAAAGGUUUUGUUCUCCCAAAAUUCAUGCGUUGAAAUCUAACCCACAAUGUGAUGGUAUUAAGAGGACCUUUUGGAAGCAAUUACCUCAUGGUGGUGUAGCCCAAAUGAAUGGAAUUAGCACCCAUUCAUUUGCCCCUUUCACUUUCUGGGACAUAGCUAGCAGGUGUCAUCUCUAAGGAAACGGGUCCUCAUUAGACAACCAAUCUGACUGAGCCUUGAUCUUGGACCUCUCAGCCUUCAUCUUGGACUUCUCAGCCUUCAGAACUGUAAGAAAUAAAUGUCUGUUGUUCAUGAGCUACUCGGUCUAUGAUAGUUUUGUUAUAGCAGCCCAAACUAAGACAGGCUCCAUUUUGCUCUAGUCCUCCCGAAGAUGCUUAUGAAAUGUUUUUUGAUAUGGAAGAACAUGUAUCAAUAUACUAUAUCAGUGGUGAUAUUUAACCUCCAGGGAAGCAACAACUAAUCUCAGAGAAAAAUGUUUUAUGAGAAGAUAAAACAAAAUAAACUGAUGUUAAAAGUAAGCAAAUUUCUUUUGCCCCAAAAUUUGUACUUUCAGAGGCUUAGACAUUAUUUUAUAUUUCCUACUUCUGAUGGGUUUAUUUUAAAAUACAGUAUAACAGUUGCUAUCACUUAUUGUUAGUUAAAAUGUUGAAUUUAAAAAUUUUAUCCAUAAUUUCAUAUGGAAUACCUGUGUUUUUAAAUUGAAGCGUGAGGCAUUUUACUCAUUUUCUGUUUGUUUUUCUUCUGCUGGUAGCAAAUGAGGACUGGUUGCUACAGCAACAUAUUUAUUCUGCAAGUGCAUUUGGGCUUUCAUCAGAUGUUCACUCUGACAGUGAGUUCUGCCUUCGGAAUGUCUGACUUUUACAACCACAGCUAAUUACAAAACCUGUAACAAUUUUAUUCCACUGCCCUAAAGUUUAAUACAAAACUUGUAGUAUUGAAACAAAUGUGGAUUGUGAAAACAAAUCUUAUGAAGAGCAGAGAAAAACAAAGGAAUUACAUUUUUAAAUAUAUAGUCAAAAAUAUUAAACUUUAAAUCAUCUGUAGCUCUUAGGUUUGUAAAAUACCUUUGGCAAGUGAGAACAAAAAUGUCAGUUUUCUCUUUCUUUAUUUUUCUCCAUGACUCUUCAACCAAGGUUCUUCACAAAUACUCAGAACUAAAAUAUUGUACUGGUUUUCAAAUACUAGGCAUUUCAACAAAAUAAUUUAACUCUUGAAUCAGAAGAGGAAGUUAUACUCACAAUGUUUGAAUUUUGUACCAUUUCAACUGAAUGUUUAUGUAUCUGGAUGAAUAUUAAUUUUCUGUAAACACAAUGUACAUACUAUUUCUAAAGCUGCUGGAUAUAAAUAAAUAUUCAAAACUUCUACUUUGUCAGUUUUUACAAAGAGCAAAAGGGUACAAUAUUUUCAAAGUCUA